rnacentral:rRNA from 1 species
AAACUGGUGCUAAUACCGCAUGACACCUGAGGGUCAAAGGCGAGAGUCGCCUGUGGAGGAACCUGCGUUCGAUUAGCUAGUUGGUGGGGUAAAGGCCUACCAAGGCGAUGAUCGAUAGCUGGUCUGAGAGGAUGAUCAGCCACACUGGGACUGAGACACGGCCCAGACUCCUACGGGAGGCAGCAGUGGGGAAUAUUGGACAAUGGGGGCAACCCUGAUCCAGCAAUGCCGCGUGUGUGAAGAAGGUCUUCGGAUUGUAAAGCACUUUCGACGGGGACGAUGAUGACGGUACCCGUAGAAGAAGCCCCGGCUAACUUCGUGCCAGCAGCCGCGGUAAUACGAAGGGGGCUAGCGUUGCUCGGAAUGACUGGGCGUAAAGGGCGCGUAGGCGGUUGUUACAGUCAGAUGUGAAAUUCCUGGGCUUAACCUGGGGGCUGCAUUUGAUACGUGAUGACUAGAGUGUGAGAGAGGGUUGUGGAAUUCCCAGUGUAGAGGUGAAAUUCGUAGAUAUUGGGAAGAACACCGGUGGCGAAGUGCGGCAA